rfam:Oleispira antarctica strain RB-8, complete genome sequence.
CAAGUCCCUGUCGGGUAAGAUUUAACCCAUCACCCGUAUCGAGUGUUGCGCCUGUGGCGGAGUUUGUGGAUCGAAAGUACUUUCCCGUAUUUAAUUUUUUUUUCUUAAAAUUAAAUACAGCAAGCGAACAAAACAGGUGAAGCGUACACAGAGAAAUAUAUAGGCCAUAGGGAUUGUCGUGAUCCUGCAGUGCUGUUAUCGCUCCGAGAAUUGUGAAUUCUGAUUGACGAGGUUUGUAACGCCAUCGAAGUCCAUGCAAAGCAAUCGUAAUGGUUAGAUUGUGGCGAGUCAGCGGAGUUAUUAAGUC